rnacentral:rRNA from 1 species
AGAGACAGCAGUCGCCGCGGUAAUACGUAGGUGGCAAGCGUUGUCCGGAAUUAUUGGGCGUAAAGGGCUCGCAGGCGGUUUCUUAAGUCUGAUGUGAAAGCCCCCGGCUCAACCGGGGAGGGUCAUUGGAAACUGGGAAACUUGAGUGCAGAAGAGGAGAGUGGAAUUCCACGUGUAGCGGUGAAAUGCGUAGAGAUGUGGAGGAACACCAGUGGCGAAGGCGACUCUCUGGUCUGUAACUGACGCUGAGGAGCGAAAGCGUGGGGAGCGAACAGGAUUAGAUACCCCAGUAGUCCCUGUCUCUUAUAC